GAAGUUAGUUAAAAUAUAACCUAAGUUUGUCAUGCUUAAAUUAUCAUCCUUAAGAUACUUCUUAAU
rnacentral:tRNA from 1 species